GGAAAGCAGCAGCCUAAGCAGAUAAACGUUGAGGUCAAGGUCUGAGGAUUUAUCAACUCCAGUUACGGUCUCCACUUGCUUCUCCUUAACGAAAUAAAGCAGCUUAAAUGACCUGAAAAUACUGAGAUAAGCAGCCAGGUGAAGCAAGACAGAGGAGCUGGAAAGGAGUGUGGGCAGUGGGGACGGCUUACUGCUGCCACAGGAGCGGGCCAGAUCCCAAGGGAAAGCGUUCCGGCUGUCCCCAUAGCGUGAGAUCAGGGGAACCUGCCAGCAGCUUGCCCCUCCAAGCACAGGGAUGAGAAUGCAUCAGAGAAGGGGCAGGGCAGAGCCUCGUGGGCCCGGUGGUGCGCAGAGGAUGCAGGGUGCAAACGGGGUGCAAACAGGGAGCAAAUAGGGAGCAAAUAGGGUGCACUGAGCCUUCGUGCCACCCUCGGCUCCCUUUGGUGCUGCACGCCCUGCUGAGGUGCUUGCUUAUUUAUUUAACUCUUCUGCUGCAAAGGUUAAACAAAUCAUACAUUACCGAUUCAGUGCAAAUGACAGGAGGAUCUCUACACAAUCCAAUUAUCCGGAGCUCUCAGGCAGAACGUGCCCACCCCACACCUGCUGACCCACAUCGGGUCAUGCUGUGGUACCAAAGCCUGUUUCCAGCUGGCUGAUGGCUGUGGUCAAGUGGCCCCUUUGCCAUUCUGAUGCCCGCUUAUCUGGAGCAGUGCUUCUUCCUGCUGGCUGAAGGAUGAACCUGAAGCAGACAUUCAGCUCCAGGUGUAGGAAUCGACGUUUUACCCUUCUCUAUUUGAAAUCUGGGCUUGUUUUCAGCAGGAGAAUCACACUGGAUUGGGAGAGAGAACUGCACAGUGUGAAAGCUGUGGGCAGCAGUGUGUU
ensembl:lncRNA